GUGUGCGGCGACGUGCCUGGGCUCCGCGAAAGCUCACACUGCUAACGGCUCAGCUGCGGGCCAACUGCCAAUGAGGGACCCGCUUGGGAUUCGGAAGUUUUGCCUUACUGAACUGUGUAACUCGUCCAAGGUCUUACAGAAACUGCAGACAUCUGACCACCUGUCGUACCCUGGACAGAGAGGCUCCCUGCGUCCCCGUGCUGCACAGCCUGGCCGGGGUGACGACAACGGCCGGGAGGGCCCACCAGGGACAGCCGCUGAGGGUGGGCCUGCCCUGCUGACGCGCUGUCGGCCUCAGAGUGACCGGCGGCCUGGGCAGUGCCCCGUCCUGCCCUGCAGCGUGGACCCCUGGGACCAGCCGUCUCAAGGCUCCCUGAGGGGCUCCUGUCUGGAACACACGCCAGGGGCUGAGCCUCCCGCUGACCCUGCAGGUGCGGGGGUCUCGCUGUGCUCCCCUCCCCCAGGGAAAGGCCUCCCCAGGCUGCCUGGUGUGGGGGGGGGCAUGGGGGCAGCGCGUCUCCCCCUGAAAUCGUCAGAGGCCGCGCACACAGGAGCUGAUUACGGGCCUCACGCCACACUCCACCGUCAGCCAUAAACUUCCUGUGAAGCAGACAGAACACGCUUCGUGCACUCGUGUCAUGGAAGGAACGUGGGCGGUCACGUGGCCCAGCCGGAUAAACACCAAGCCCUCUGCACCGGCCGCGGAGAGGCCAUUUGUCCUGCCUGCUCCCGGGACACAUGAAUGCCUGUCCCAGACCCCACCCUGGGGAAGGACAAACACCGGAUAGAGCCGCAGGGACCCCGGAGCCCGGAUGCCCGCCGUCCAGCACUGUUUACGCUCCAGCCCGACUCGGGAGAAAAAUCACUCAGCAGGUGCGCCCUUGGGAGUGGCCGGCGGACUGUCCGUGAGCUUCCUUUCACGCCAUCGAAGACCAGGUUACCGGUCAGCUGUGCCGGCCACCCGCUGGCUCCCCGGGCAUGGCGGCCCCCGCUGAGCGCUGCACAGACCUCGGGACGCCCGACGCCCUCCCUGACACCGAGCCUUCGCCGUAGAUUGCCGUGGGUGCAGCCCGGGGCUGAAGGGAGCACUGGCCCCAUGGAGGAGGCGGGGGCAGGUGCGCUGACGCGGAGGAGAAACGCUGGCCCGGCUCAGUGCCGGGACCCCCUGGAGCGUACACGGGGGGCCCUGAGCAGCCAGGGUGGGCAGAGGCCUCGGGUGGCAGGAGGAAGCCGUCCCAUGGAAGACCCACAACAACCCUGCCUGCAGAUGCGCACACUGAGGCUCGGAGACACGCGGGUCACGUGGGCAGCUCGCGGCAGAACCUCACCCUCGGCCCUACCCCACGGCCAGGCGCUAGACAGCCUGCAUGCAUGGCCUGCGUGCUCCUGUGUCUGCGUAGGCACUGCUGGGCGUCCUCCCGAGACCUGCUCCACCCCGGGCACCUGGCUGGGACCCCACCCCUCCCCGGUGAGCACCCCAUUGAACAGGAGGGUGAGCAGACCAGAGAGGGCAGGUGACUUGCCCAGGGUCACACAGCUGAUUACAACCAGAGAGACCACAGUGGAGCCCCCUGCCUCCUCCUCCAGGGGGCGCUCUGUGGCUGCAGCACCAGCAGCAGGGUGGGUGGCGACAGGCUGGCGCCCACCCUCCCGGUGUUGA
rnacentral:lncRNA from 1 species